rnacentral:tRNA from 1 species
AGGUUGGUUGCUCAGUCGGGGGAGCACAUGGUCUCUAACCACGGAUCUGGGGGUUCAAAUCCCUACCAAUUGA